CGAAAUUUGAGCUAAUACCGGAUAAUGUCUUCGGACCAAAGAUUUAUGCCCUGAGAUAAGCCCGCGUAGGAUUAGCUAGUUGUGGGGUAAAGGCUCACCAAGGCGACGAUCCUUAGCUGGUCUGAGAGGAUGAUCAGCCACACUGGGACUGAGACACGGCCCAGACUCCUACGGGAGGCAGCAGUGGGGGAAUAUUGGACAAUGGGCGAAAGCCUGAUCCAGCAAUGCCGCGUGAGUGAUGAAGGCCUUCGGGUUGUAAAGCUCUUUUACUCGGGACGAUAAUGACGGUACCGAGAGAAUAAGCCCCGGCUAACUCCGUG
rnacentral:rRNA from 1 species